AGCCCGUCCUUUCUCCCCCACACAUCGAGCUUGAAGCUCUUUUCCUUCUCUCUCCUGGCCGUGUCCGGCCAUUGCCACCAUCAUCGGCCGAUUUCCCUCGUUGGAGCAUUGCCGGCCAAACCCUCGCGCCACCGGGCUUUCCUCGACGAGGUGAACCCAUUUUUCUUGUUUUCCCUCUCCCUUUGCCAUCCUAUAAGCCACUCUAGCCACUUCAUUUACCGGCCGGAGCUAAGCUCCUAUUCUCACCGUUCCGGCCAUCUCCCUCUCCCUCUCUCCCAACCACUACCCUCCCCGGGUGCGCGUCGCUCGGGAACACCACCCGCCGCCGGCGUCUCCGCCUUCCAGCUGCCGGAAAGCCGGCGCCCCUCCUCCCUGUCCUCCCUGUCUACCCGUGCUAGAAGAGAAGAGAAGAAGAGAGGAACGGGAGGAAGAAGGAGAAAAGGAAAAAGAAAAGAUACUGAGAGAGUCUAAUUGGAGUUUUUGCCGAAGCUGGGAGUUCAAUCAAAUAAGUUAGUUUCCUUUAAACCUAGUCUUCAAGUCUAAUAUAGUUAGACGGUUUAAUUCUAUAGUAAAACAACAUAGUUGGGUCAUCGUAUAGCUUCUGUGGUAGUAGUUAGCCACAAACUUUUAAAUGUCCUCUUAUUUUAUAUAAAGACAUCUCCUUCGGAGCCUUGUUCAAAUGUACGCAAUGAAGAUCCAGAUUGUUGAACCUGUAUCAAUCUACUGAUCCAGGGCUUGAUACAGUUUUAAUAUGUCGGUUUCCGAUUCAUUAGUUUUGGGAUCCGACACCUUCUCCCCCACAAGCGGACAGCUGCGCCCUGCCCUCCCGCAAGCGGCGGCAGCGGCGCCCUGCCCUCCCACAAGCGGCAGCGGCAGCACACUCCCUCGCAGCGAGCGGCUGUGGCAGCGUGGCGAUGGUGGCGUCGCUCCCUCUCCCUACCGCCGGCUCCUUCUCUCUUCGUCAGGCAGUGGCCGCCGCACCACUCUCUCGCCAGAUCCGGCGGGCCGACGGCGAGGUGGCGAGGAGCAGCGUGCUGCAGCCUCCGAUCCGGCUCUCCCCUCCCUCUCCUCUCGUCAUCUCACGUUAAUAUAUGAUGUUUUCUGAUGAUUCCGAUUUAGAUUUGGACUGGGAUUUUGUGUUUGAUUUGGAUUUGGAUUGUGAUGAUUUGAGAUUUGGAGAGAAGGUGUGCUUAAUGUGGGAUUCUAUUUGUGUGAUGAUAGAAUUCCGACUGGGAUUUUGGAGGGGGGGGACGAAAAAUCACCGUAUGGAGGAGGUGAAGAAAGGAAAAAUACGAAUAUUUAUAUUAGUUAUAGAUAUCAAUUUCACUUAUACGUUAACAACAAUGACGAAAAUUACUUCACGUCAAAAACAAUCAAUUAUAUAUUUCAAAAAAAUGAUAACUGAUUCUUGACGUACGUACAUCAAUGCUGCAAGGCCAAAUUCAACUGAAAUAAGUCGCAUGAUUAGUUUAUUUAAUAAAAUGCUAGCAUUGUGCUUGGUUCAUAUCUCGUAUAUUAUCACAGCAUGAAUCUUGGAAGGGAUCAAGUGAUAGAGAAAUCGAUUGUAACUAAGCGAAAAAUUUGGCGACGGUAUUUUAGCAAAUGUUCUGAACCUAACUUUAAUUUUUAUAUAGUCUCCAAUUAAACUAUUUGUCCUACCACAUCAGACAAAAGUGUUCUUGGGAGGCUGCUACAGAUCGGACGUCCGAUCUUGUGGAAAUCAUCGGACGGUGUUGCACCGUGCUGUUGAGGGAUGUUUCACAUAUUUCAUCUCUUGAUAAAAAUUAUUUCAAUAAAAAUGUUUAACUAGCAAAGAAAAAUUUCGGUGCUUGAGCAAAAUUGUUUCAUCCAAAUCAAUAGUUGAACAUAUUGAUUGUAACACUAAAAAUCGAUGUAUGCAACAAUGAGUCAAAAGUUUUACUAGCAGAGAAACAAUAUUCCAGUGCUUGAGCAAAAUUGUUUCAACCAAAUCAAUAGCCGAACAUACUGAUUGCAACAUCAAAAAUCGAUGUAUGCAACAAUCAGUCAAAACGGAACAAACAACUUAAUGAAACAAAGUGCAACAAAAAUACAAAUAAUCUGCAACUUUACUAAAAUUCCCAACAAAACCCAUAUUUGUCUUCUACUAAUACGGUCGGCCGAGCGGAUCGGCGAGGGAGGAAGGUUGCGCGACCGAGGCGUGCCCCGCGACAGAGAUGGAGAGGUAGGGGCCCGAGGAGGCACGGGCCUGGUCGUCGUCGUUGUCGUAGAAGGAGGGGGAGCCACGGAUGUGCGGCUGGCCACGCCGAAGAAGAGCCCAUCAGAGUCGCUGUCGGCCUAGCCGCAGCAGGUGAGCAGUGCAGCGAGGACGGCGCCGGAGACGGAGAGCAUCGCGGCGUCGGUGGGGAUCAUCACCGUGAGAUGGGAUUUUUUUUUUGGGAAGCAAAGCAGUGAGAUGCAAAAGAGGAUAAGGUUGUGCGAAGGAUGGGUUAAAUCAAUGGUGGGCUCCACCGUACGUUUUUCUCCGAUAUUUUUCGUCCCGUCGGAUGGCAGAUGCAAAGCAUUUUCCAUGUUGCCAAAUGCUUUUCGGAUAUGGAAAUAAGUUUUCGAGUGCUUUGUUUAUCAAAAUCUCUAUCUCUACUAUUAUAAAAAUUGAAGACGUUUUUGCCAGUAUUUUGUUACGUCAUGCGUAUUUGAAUCGGUUUUAAUUUUAUGUUUCCAUUUUAAUCUAUCUCUCUACUUAAAAAAAGAAAUUUCUGUCAUCUGUAGAAAAGAAAGAAAAAAAGUCUGACUCAAAAAGGUAAAAAAUAAAUAAAUAAAAAGUCCGACUCAACAAGCGAUAAAAAAAAGCUUCUGUUGUAAGUAAAAAAAACAUCUCAUCGUAAAAAACAAUUAUCCGAUUCCCGUAGAAAAAGUCCGCUUGGUUUUUUUUGGCACCGGGUAUUUUUUUUCCGAUUUUUUGCACGCGAAAGAGUUUUUUAUGCGCACACGCUAAGGUUUUUGGUUUUUUUCCGGCCUUUUUAAUCUAAUCUGUUCACUGUGCGCUUUUGGUUUUUUUUGUCAAUUUUUUUUGCCGAUUUUUUCACCCGUGCGCUUUUUUUUCAUCCGGGUUUUUAAUCCGAUAUGUUCGCCGCACGCCUUCCGACUUGAACCUAGUGACGUGUCGCCGCCAUAUUGAUCGUGCGUUUUCUCCUCCAAUUUAAUUGAAAAAUCAAUUCCACAUUUCUCUCUCAUCAUUUUCUCCAUGAUUUUCCUUUCGAUUCGGCUUUAAUUUAUCAGAUUUAAUCUCCGUUUAACGCUUGCCGUUGAUGACAGUGAUCUUCUCCCAUCGUUUUUAUCCCGAGUUUUACGCUCUGAUUUUGGGGAAAAUGGAAAGAGUAGAUCGAGUGGAUCAAAAACCCUCAACCAAUUCUAGCCGAUCGAGAAAGAUUCGGUCGGAUUUAAUGUGGGCCAAUUUUGGCUGAUCGAGAAUGAUUCGGCCGGAUUUGGAUAAUUGCUCCGACAACCGUACGGGCACGGGACUAUCUUCGGUACUGAUUGAUGUGUUUUUCCAACAAAUGCUUCAUGUGUCGGCAUUCUUCUGUCAAAUGGCCUCCUGGCUCGUAAUUUUGACAAAAUUUGUUGUAACAUUCCUCCAUGGAGUGACCACCCGGGCCAUGUGUUUGACAGAAUUUGCUUUGAUCUUUUUGACUUUCACUUCCUCUGCCUCUUCCAUUGUCAUGUGUUUGGUUCUUCAUAAGCUCCGAUAAAUCCUGCUCGAAAAGUAUCUCUCAUAUGCUCCCACGAGUAGAUUGUCAUAGGAGGAAUUGUUGUAUACCAUGACAAUGCCACUCCUUCCAACAUGGUCGGGAGUUCUUUGGCUUUUGUUGUAUCAUCUCCCCCUGCUGUUUCAUACACCCUCAAGUAUUCAUUGGGGUCUGUAUCCCCUCAGUAUUUUGUAAUGUUUGAUAACUUGAAAUUCGUUGGCCAAGGUGCCAUUUGCAAGUUCUGGCUUAGAGGAUUUUUAGUGUAUAUGGCUCUGGUUGGGUGAAAA